rnacentral:rRNA from 1 species
UUCCGGUUGAUCCUGCCGGACCCGACUGCUAUUUGGGUGAGAAUAAGCCAUGCGAGUUGAAUGGGAUACCUAAAUUUCCCAUAGUAAACUGCUCAGUAACACAUGAUCAACUUACCCUAUAGAGAAAAAUAACCUCGGGAAACUGAGGAUAAUGUUUCAUAAUUGAAUUGGCUUGGAAAAGUUUUUCAAUGAAAAGGAUAAAAAAAUGGUUUUUAUCUGCUAUAGGAUAGGAUCGUGUUCGAUUAUGGUUGUUGGUGAGAUAAUGGCUCACCAAGCCGAUAAUCGAUAGGGGCCGUGAGAGCGGGAGCCCCGAGAUGGGUACUGAGACAACGACCCAGGCCUUACGAGGCGCAGCAGGCGCGGAACCUCCGCAAUACACGAAAGUGUGACGGGGUUACCCAAAGUGUUCAAUAGAACUGUGGUAGGUGAGUAAUGUCCCCUACUAGAAAGGAGAGGGCAAGGCUGGUGCCAGCCGCCGCGGUAAAACCAGCUCUUCAAGUGGUCGGGAUAWUUAUUGGGCUUAAAGUGUCCGUAGCCGGUUUAGUAGUUCCUGGUAAAUCGGGUCGCUUAACUAUCUGCAUGCUAGGAAUACUGCUAUACUAGAGGGCGGGAGAGGUCUGAGGUACUACAGGGGUAGGGGUGAAAUCUUAUAAUCCUUGUAGGACCACCAGUGGCGAAGGCGUCAGACUGGAACGCGCCUGACGGUGAGGGACGAAUAGCCAGGGGAGCGAACCGGAUUAGAUACCCGGGUAGUCCUGGCCGUAAACGAUGCAUACUAGGUGAUGGUACGGCCAUGANCCGUAUCAGUGCCGUAGGGAAACCGUUAAGUGUGCCGCCUGGGAAGUACGGUCGCAAGGCUAAAACUUAAAGGAAUUGGCGGGGGAGCACCACAAGGGGUGAAGCCUGCGGUUCAAUUGGAUUCAACGCCGGA